UCCCUACGGGAGGCAGCAGUGAGGAAUAUUGGACAAUGGGAGCAAUCCUGAUCCAGCCAUGCCGCGUGCAGGAAGACUGCCCUAUGGGUUGUAAACUGCUUUUAUACAGGAAGAAAAAGCCCGACGUGUCGGGUGUUGACGGUACUGUAAGAAUAAGGAUCGGCUAACUCCGUGCCAGCAGCCGCGGUAAUACGGAGGAUCCAAGCGUUAUCCGGAAUCAUUGGGUUUAAAGGGUCCGUAGGCGGGACAAUAAGUCAGUGGUGAAAGUCUGCAGCUCAACUGUAGAAUUGCCAUUGAUACUGUUGUUCUUGAGUGCUUGUGAAGUGGUUAGAAUGAGUAGUGUAGCGGUGAAAUGCAUAGAUAUUACUCAGAAUACCGAUUGCGAAGGCAGAUCACUAACAAUUCACUGACGCUGAUGGACGAAAGCGUAGGUAGCGAACAGGAUUAGAUACCCUGGUAGUCUACGCCGUAAACGAUGGUUACUAGCUGUUCGGAUCAAUUGAGAUCUGAGUGGCUAAGCCAAAAGUGAUAAGUGACCCACCU
rnacentral:rRNA from 1 species